rnacentral:snRNA from 1 species
AUAAAUAUUGAUUCAAAU